AUUGAACGCUGGCGGCAGGCCUAACACAUGCAAGUCGAACGAGUGGCGGACGGGUGAGUAAUGUCUGGGAAACUGCCUGAUGGAGGGGGAUAACUAAUGGAAACGGUAGCUCAUACCGCAUACCAUCGGAUGUGCCCAUAUGGGAUUAGCUAGUAGGUGGGGUACCGGAUCACUUAGGAGACGAUCCCUAGCUGGUCUGAGAGGAUGACCAGCCACACUGGGACUGAGACACGGCCCAGACUCCUACGGGAGGCAGCAGUGGGGAAUAUUGCACAAUGGGCGCAAGCCUGAUGCAGCCAUGCCGCGUGUAUGAAGAAGGCCUUCGGGUUGUAAAGUACUUUCAGCGGGGAGGCGUUACCCACAGAAGAAGCACCGGCUAACUCCGUGCCAGCAGCCGCGGUAAUUC
rnacentral:rRNA from 1 species